CUUCCUUCUGGGAUGUUAAUGUGAUUUUUCAUUUUCUCAAGUCUUGGCCUUUGAAUCACGAACUUUCUCUUAAACAAUUAUCAGCCAAGUUGUUGAUGCUGUUUUGUUUACUUUCAUGUAAACGGGUUGCUGAUGUCAGAGCAUUGGAUUGGCAAGCACGCGCUUUUGUUCUGAAUGGAGUAUCCUUUAAUAUUUCACGUAGGACGAAAUCUGUGACUAAGGAGGUUUGCUACCCGUCGUUUCCAGAUAAUCCAAAUCUGUGCCCAGUGUUCUGCCUUAAGGAAUACGAG